UACAGAGGUCCCAAGCGUUUGUUCGGAUUUACUGGGCGUAAAGGGUGCGUAGGUGGUGAGGUAAGUCUGAUGUGAAAUCUCCGAGCUUAACUCGGAAAUGGCAUUGGAAACUACCUUGCUAGAGGGUUGGAGGGGGGGACUGGAAUACUUGGUGUAGCAGUGAAAUGCGUAGAUAUCAAGUGGAACACCAGUGGCGAAGGCGAGUCCCUGGACAACUCCUGACACUGAGGCACGAAAGCUAGGGGAGCAAACAGG
rnacentral:rRNA from 1 species